GUUUUAAUAGUUUAAAUUUAAAACUCUGGUCUUGUAAACCAGAAAUGAAAUGAUUUUCUUAAAACU
rnacentral:tRNA from 1 species